rfam:Janibacter indicus strain YFY001, complete genome.
GGGGGUGAUCGGUUUCGACACUGGCCGGUCCUUCAGGGGAAGCGGGUCGAGGAUGCACGGUCAUCUCGUCAACGCCCCGUGCAAACCCAAUAGGUGCCGAUUCCAAGCGCACCGACUUCGCCCUCGCCGCCUGAGCGAGCCCGAAGUCCGUUGGCCUAGGUGUGAUCUCGACCUAGAUCCCAGCGUCAGCUAGAGAUCUUGCUGCAGUGCCAUGUCGCGGGGCACUGCGGGACUCCUACGCGACUGGGCCUGUCGGGGAACGUGUGCGCGCGAGCCCCGGGGCCGAGAAAAUCCAUAGCGCACUGCACCCGGAGAAGCCCUGAUUGUCUGCCAGUGGACGCGGGUUCGAUUCCCGCCACCUCCACCA